AAGUAUGAGGCAUCACAUGAAUUCCAGACUAAGAAAAAGCGUCAGCAACAGAGGCAAGCAGAAGAAGCUGCGAAGCGUCAAAAACUUAAUCAUCCUCCACCACAUUCUCGGUUGCCUCCAAUCCAGCAGCCUGGCCAAGCACACCCUCAAAUCAGGCCUGGCCAGGGUAUGCACAACGCACCUCCUGUGGCAGCUGGCUCGAGCCAUCACUAUGCAAAGCCUCGAGGACCAGGAGGCCCUAACCGGU
rnacentral:lncRNA from 1 species